GUUCAGGGGUAAACCUGAGAAACCCAAAAGAUCGAAUGAAGAGAUUCAUCGUCAGCGUAUUUUGUAUAUGUAUGAGUUAUGAUGCGNNAGUUACUAUUNNAUAGUAUUGCUNUGUACGUACUUUUACAUUUAUUUGCAAGAUAUUGUCGGCGUGCACUUCUCUUCUAGUAGGACAUCGCGACCCGUUGGGUGUUGGUUUACGACCUAAGNUGGAAGCCUUUAAUGUUNNUUANNUAAUAUUGAAGACUCUUAGUGUUNUUCUAACCAGCUGCCCAGCGGUACUCGUACGGUAUUUAGCCGCAUNUUUNNNNUAUGCGUCCAUAUCCGUCGCAAGCGAGGCUAGUUUCUGAUAGUNACGGACCUAGUGCCGUCGUUGGUACUGGCCAGCUGUUGGUUGUUAC
rnacentral:rRNA from 1 species